UCGAGAGCUCCAAGUGGGCCA
rnacentral:sRNA from 1 species